UAAGGAAUAUUGCUCAAUGGGAGAAAUCCUGAAGCAGCAACGCCGCGUGGAGGAUGAAGGGUCUAUGACUUGUAAACUCCUGUAAAGAAGGAAAAGAUUCCCAUUAGAUGGGAGAUGAUGGUACUUCUGGAGUAAGCCCCGGCUAACUACGUGCCAGCAGCCGCGGUAAUACGUAGGGGGCAAGCGUUGUCCGGAUUUACUGGGUGUAAAGGGUGCUCAGGCGGAUUUGUAAGUCAGAGGUGAAAUCUUACAGCUUAACUGUGAAACUGCCGUUGAUACUGCAAGCCUAGAGUAUGGAAGAGNGUGAUGGAGUAUCUGGUGUAGCAGUGAAAUGCGUAGAUAUCAGAUAGGACACCAAUGGCGAAGGCAGUCACUUGGGCCAUUACUGACGCUAAAGCACGAAAGCGUG
rnacentral:rRNA from 1 species